GGAGGGGAAGAAAAAAGAAAAUUUGACCCAGGGAAACCCUCUCUAGGGGCGAUUGAGAACUUGAGAAAUCUCAGUCUGAAACAAACAGUUGCUAGAGCCUAGUGAAUUUCAAACGAAGCAACUGGGAAAAGACAAAUCAGGAGUUAAAAUUUCAUCAGGAAAGCAAAGUCAAAUUUACAGGCUCCUGAGACAAAAAGCAGGAAGAGCCAGGCUGCUAUUCAUAGGCAAAACAGUCAGUUUAGCAAAAGCGGGAAAGGCUAGCGAAGAAGCAAGGCAGAAACUGCUGCAGAAUGCUAAGGAGUUCUUUCUUAAGCACUUCUUAUUCCAAAAGUUCUGCAAGCUAAUCUUUACAAGAAACUCCCUGUGCCUUUUCAGGAGAGGUGGGACUCAGAUGCAUUUGAAAGGCUUAUCAGGAAGUGGUUGCUUUAACUCAAAGCAGGGCAUUUAAAAGAUCAGAAUUACUUGGAAAAAAUGGAUAAAAAACAAAAAAAAAAUUUUUUUUUAAUAAAACCGUAGGUCUCAGCAAAAUUAAGGAAUCAAGGCAAUAAUCCUGAAUUAGGUUAAAUUCGGAACAGCCUAAGUUGUAAAAAGAUAUUGCCAUUCUGUAACCAAAGGCAGAAGAUUUUUUUUAAAAAAAGGCAAGCCUCUACACUCAUUUAGCAUUUGAAAAAGGUCCUAGGAACUCUUUUGUUUGAGGUCUGGCCAGGUAAAGGCAGGCUUUACCUGGGUGCACAGUGAAGUAAGAUCUGGGAAUUUGAAUCGUUUUAAUUUAGGUUGGAUAUAGGCAAAAUUAUACAGGAAUGUCUGCUUAUAUAUUUUGAUAAAGGAAGUUAAAAAAGGAGAAUUAAAAAUCUUUCUCUGACUUUUGUUAUAUGCCACAGAAUAUCAGGACUAGAAAUGUUUUAUCUGUAGAGAAAUUUUGGUAUGAAUCACAAGGUAAUUAAAGUGCAAACAGAAAAUUUUUAAGGUUUGGGCUUAAAUCUGAAGCAGCUUGAAAUGUUUUUUCUCUCUACCAGCCACGUGGUUUGAGCCACGUGGAAGAUAGCAUCAGAGCAACUGAGGUUGCAAGUUUUAUCACUAAGGCUGUAAUUGGCUAGAAGAAAAAAUUUAAUACUAAGAUGUAAUAAGCAUGAAUUGGAAUAUGAUUUAAAGGAAUUUAUAAAGCUUUCUAAUUUUAACUAUGGAGGAAUUAUUAACACUUUUCUAAGCAGGACGUAAAGCAACAGGAUGAAUCUUGAGCAGAGCUUAUUCAAACAGCCUGUAUGCAGUUUAGAAACUUUUUACUGGGCAUAUUAGCAUACCUGUAUCCAGAAAGCAAAUGAUUUAUAACUAGAAUAGCUUUUACUAUGGAAAAUUAAGACACAUGCUCAGCAGAGUAAAAGCAUGGUUAGAAGGAUUUAAUCUGUUUACCAGUGGUUAAUUAUUAAGGUUAUCAGGAACUCGGUUACUCAGUACAGUAAUUUAUUAAGGAUUUGAAAGAGGCAAUACUAUCAUGUAUUAAAAUUGCAGAUAUUGAAGCUGAUCAUGAUAUUGAAAAGAGACCUAUGAUAAUAAUGCAAAUUCAAAGGUGACUGGCAUAAUUUGAUUUAUUUCUGCAGGGAAGAUUUGCAGAUUUGGCAGAUGAAAGUAAUGAUUUUAUUCACAGUAGUAAGAUCUUUUCAGUUAUGAAGCUAAGGGCAGUAGUUCAGAAAUAACAACUUCUGUGCAAUUGUUUGAUAAUUCUGUGCACAGUUUUCUAGCAUAGGACAAUGCUAUAAUUUUAAUAACUGCACAAGGUGGAAAUUUUUCAAAAAGCAAAAAUUGUGUGCAGGCAGACAAAGACUUAAGAUCCCAGCACACACGGGUCCAAUCAUAAGUGAUUUAUAGAAUGAUAUUUUUAUGUUUAUGGAUUUGAAAAAGCGAAUAUUUAAGCAUCUAUACAUGCUGCUUUGCAAAAUCUAUUGUGCAUCUAUAUCCUGAACAAGCAGGUGAUAUCGCUUAUCAAUGCAAACUGCUGUGGAUUAAUUUCACCCCUGAUAGAUAUCCACUGUAUAUUUUGGAGCAAAAGGUGCAUUUCAGUAUGCUCCUGGCACAAAGGUUGAACUGUGAAAAGUGAUGGGAGAUACUUACUCUCCUGGUUUAUGGGUUCAAGCUCAAAUGAAGAAGUGAGCAAAGUGAUUGCAGAUUUUAUAAAUAUCUGUGCACUACUGUCUAUUCCAAACAGCUUGGAAUAGCAGGGCUUUUAACAGCAAUGCAAAGGCUAAAUUGCAUAGCUCGUGGCUUACAUGCAAGCUAUGGUAAAUAGAGCUCAAAGGAAUUCAUGAGCCCCAAGGUUCAAAAACUGAAAGUAUAUAUGUUCUGUCACUUUCUAACUUUCUAAGACCCAAUGAGGCUUUCAUUUGGGGUCGAGGUCUUGUUUGUAUGUUCACAGAUAAUGAAAACAUCUGGUCACCCAUGUCAUGCUUCAUGCCAGCUGAUACAGACCAGGAAGAGAAGCAGACGGAAGGUGAUGGCAUCAGCUACCUACAUGCCAGCCACAAUCCAGGCACGCUGGAGGGACACUUCUUUGGUGACUAAUAUCACUCUAGAACAAUGACAUUACACUAUUAGAGACAUUGGCUAUUAGGCCACUGAAGGACACUUGUCAUGCUGACAUCCAUUGAGAUGGGGUACCCAGA